GUUGAACGCUGGCGGCAGGCUUAACACAUGCAAGUCGAACGAGUGGCGGACGGGUGAGUAAUGCUUGGGAAUCUAGCUUAUGGAGGGGGAUAACUACGGGAAACUGUAGCUAAUACCGCGUACCAUAGGAUGCACCCAAGUGGGAUUAGGUAGUUGGUGAGGUAAAGGCUCAACAAGCCGACGAUCUCUAGCUGGUCUGAGAGGAUGACCAGCGACACGGGGACGGUGACACGGCCCAGACUCCGACGGGAGGCAGCAGGGGGGAAGAUGGCGCAAUGGGGGCAACCUGACGCAGCCAUGCCGAGUGAAUGAAGAAGGCCUUCGGGUUGUAAAGUUCUGUCGGUAGCGAGGCGUUAACUACAGAAGAAGCACCGGCUAACUCCGUGCCAGCAGCCGCGGUAAUAC
rnacentral:rRNA from 1 species